rnacentral:lncRNA from 1 species
AUUAGUAUUCCUAAAUGAAUAGUAGAUUUAUUUUGAAAGUGAUCAUUAAGAGGAAAUGUGCUUAUUCCUUAGUGCUUUAAUUUGGCAAACACAUUUGAGUUUCUCUUGUGCCCCAGGUACCGUGCUAGGCUCUGGGUGUCAAAGGAUAAGGACAAACACAGCUGUUGCCUCUCAAGAUCUAGCAUAAGGCAACAAUUAGUAAACUGGGUCUAAUUUGUGAAAUAGCAGUAUGUGAAUUCUGUUGAAAAAUACUGAACUCAUGCCCAAAAGACUCGGUUUAUCAUCCCAGCGUUGACAUUUACUAGUUAUGUGACCUUGAACAAGUCACUGUGUCUCCCUCACCUCUAGGUUUUUCUCCCAAAAAGUGUGACAUUUGACCACAACUAGAUGAUUCUUUUCUGUUCCAAAGCUGUAUGAUUCCCUGGUCAUAGUCAAGCCCAUCGAUGGGGAAAACUAGAAUAGAACUUAUUGGAUGGGUACCAUGCAUGCCAUCAUUUAACGUCGCCUUGUCCUCUGGGGGCCGUUAUCCCACAGGACUCCAUGGCUUCCUGCCUCUCUACCAUCUCCUCUCUCUGUGGAAGCAAGGGUCGGCUCACAGUUUGGAAUCUCAAUUGUUGAGAAAGUGUAAUUGUUUACAAGGACAGACCAAUGAGUAAAACCAGCCAUAUUUUCACACACACAAAAAGGGGCGAUAGAUCUCAACUUCUCAUUAUGGAUAAAAAUUUCAAAAUAUCAAGUCAGGUGAAGGACAUGUGCAGCGAGGACUGGUGUGACCUCAGGACUCAGCAUUUAUUUUACCUCAUUAGUGUAAGAAUGUCACAAGAUUGACAGGAACAGCAAUUCAAUCAAUCGGCUUCAAUCAAGGCUACCAAAAAUGAGAGCCAAUCUCUUGCCAUUAGAUUUUGGGCUUCAAACAAUUUUAGGAAGAAGUUCUAUUCGCUAGCUGUAUAAACACUAGAAAUUUAUUGCCUGAAAUCUUUGUAUGAAAGAUUAUUCCCUGAAGUCUUUGUCUGAAAGUUUUGCGUGUAAGAUUAGCAAAUCUUUUUAAAAAGCAAUAAAUAUCAAACAAUAAGAAAAAGGAAGUUGAGAAACUCAAAGACCACAGUUUAAUCUGGAAUGGAUCCACUGGAAAAGUAUAUUGUUAACAUGAGUUCAUCUAAACGUACACGCUAACUUGUAGCAACUGAGUUUCAAAGCCCCUCCCUCAUUCUGCCCCCACUGGCAAACAAUUUCUAGGUCUGCUAGGAGAAAAAGAUCUUCAAUUGCCUCAGUGAGAGGAUGGGGGCAGAAAGGAGCCUCAAAUCUUCCAUGUCCACAUAAACCCUUAGUCAUCUGUCACAUGUGAAAUCCCUGCUGUCAGCCCUGACCCACAUGGCAGGAGCCAGGCUCAUUCUGAAGCAACACUUGUUGCUGUUGCAAGGAGUGACCUGUUCAUAUAAAAGCCUACUUCACAGUGCCAGGCUAACUUUUGUUCAGGGACAAAAUCCUCUGUUGCCAGAAACAACAACAGCAUUUGCUCCUCAGGUCAACGUAAUACCUCACUAAUGAGAUUACCUUCUUCAUUCUAACAGAUUUUUCUGCUAUGUGGAGACCAAGAAUAUGAGAAUGCCUACUUAAUUUAAUGUCCUCUGAAUAUUAUACUGAUUUGAAAAAAAAAAUACUGUUGUUUCAAUGUUGCUGUUGACAUUUGAGGCAGAGGGACAGUUUACAAUGGGACACGCAGGACUCACAUCCAGUGAGUAGGAAGGACUUUUUCAGCCUGGGGGAAAAUAAGACAAAGUGAUGGUUAAAGGUGAUGGCUCCAGAGUCACAGGUGUGGGUUUGAACCCUGGGUUUCUCAUCUACUAGCUGUCUGGUCUUGGAUAAGUUUCUUAAUCUUUAAAUCUUAGUAGUGCUGGUAAUAUGAAGGUUUGGGUGAGAUUUAAGUAAGAUUCUGCACUAAAAGCAAUUUUCACCAUACCUUGCACGUAGCGAAGGCCUACAUUUCCAUAUAUAUAUUAUUCCUAUUUGUAUUACAUUACCAUGGCUGUCACAACAAAGUACCCCAGACUUGGUGGCUUAAACAAUAGAAAUUGAUUAUCUCACGGUUCUGUGGGCCAGAAGUCCAAGAUCCAGGUGGUGGCAGGGCUGGCUUCUUCUGACAUCUGUGAGGGAGGCUCUGCUCCAGGCCUCUCCCUGGCUGUAGACGCCUAUCUUCUCCCUGAGUCUCUCCACAUCGUCUUUACUCUAUGCUUGUGUCUAUGUGCAACUUUCCCCUUUCGCUAAGGACAGCAACCAUAGUGACCUUGAUUACCUCUCUAAAGACCCUGUCCCCCAAAUAUAAUCAUAUUAUGUGAUGCUGGGAGUUUCAAAUUUCAUCACAUAAAUUUGGAGGAGACACAAUUCAAUCCAUACUGCUGUUGAUAUAGGUAAUAAUAACAACUAUUAUUAGUAUCAUGUUUAGAGCAGAGGUCAUCCACUCCAGAAAACUGCAUGUCUUUGAAAUGGGAAAUUCUUUCCUAGUGCCUCGAACGUAAUAAAUGACUUGAAGUGGGUAAGAAGAGGCUACAAGAAUGAAUGAGUGAGUGAGUGAACGUAAUAAAUGACUUGAAGUGGGUAAGAGGCUACAAGAAUGAAUGAGUGAGUGAGUGAGUGAAUGUAAUAAAUGACUUGAAGUGGGUAAGAGGCUACAAGAAUGAAUGAGUGAGUGAGUGAGUGAAUGUAAUAAAUGACUUGAAGUGGGUAAGAGGCUACAAGAAUGAAUGAGUGAGUGAGUGAGUGAAUGUAAUAAAUGACUUGAAGUGGGUAAGAGGCUACAAGAAUGAAUGAGUGAGUGAGUGAGUGAAUGUAAUAAAUGACUUGAAGUGGGUAAGAGGCUACAAGAGUGAAUGAGUGAAUGAGUGAGUGAAUGGUGGGCAGGAUAUGAGGAGCCUUAAGGAUUUACCUCCAGCAGGGAUGGGGCAAGUGACCAAUGGAGCUCCAAGCAUCUGCGGGAGGUAAACAGCAGAUGUAUAAAAGGAGCCUUCUCGAGAGCCUGCAGGUCUAAGACCACAGCGAUAGGAGGACAGGGCAAGAACCUCUGUUCCAGAAGGAUUGGGACCAGGAAGAAAGCUGCAGAGAGGCAGGCUCGUGCUCACCUGCAGUCAUGCCCAUCUUGCCCACCUGCUGUCUGCGACUAGGCCAACUCCUAAACCUCUCUGAAGCUUAAGACCUGCCACAGUGGGCUGUGCCAGAGUUGGAGUGGAGACUCACUGAGAUCAUCUAGAAGAGGCACCUGCCUCAAAGCCUUCAGGGUCACUCAUCUAUUCAUCCAACAAAUAUUCAACAAGCACCUGUUACAUACCAGAUUAUUACAUACAUGUGGCAGUGCACGUAACUGUGAAGCUGUGUACUACAGCUGCAGGGCGAGGACUGGGGCUUUAGCUCCCACCUUGUGCAAUGUGGGAUCUUCUCCAUCGUCAUAUCAAGCCACCCCACGUGUAUUUAAUGUAAGUUGGAACACUGUGCUUGCUACAAAAGUCAGCUUCAGAAGAAGCCCCUCCGUGGAUCACCACCUCCCUACAAGCUGCAGUCCUAAUCUCCUAUGUCAAAAUCAGGGACUGCUGCUGCCCCGGGGGGUUUAGAGAUGAAGACCCAGACUCUGACUGAGGAGUCUCCCAGUGAAAGGAAGGAGGCAGAAGCCCAGUCACCAGUGACGCCACCCAGCUGAGUGGACCGCGCAGAGGGAGGCGGACGCAGGGCACUCCAACAUGGACCUGAGAGGCACACACUGCAAUGCAAAUCCUCCACGAUAGUCCACAGGAUGUACUGGGAGAAACUGGAAGGCCACAGGAGAAACGUUUGCUCACGAAAACACAGGCAUUUCAUGUGCCUGGAGCACGGGAUGAAGAAUUCCUUAGACUUUGAGUGCCAAGCUAGUGCUUGGACUUUCUUCUAAAGGUCAUGGGUGAGCCCUUGGGGAAUGUGGAGACCACUCCGGCCUGCGAUGGAGAAGGAAAUUGUGCCAGAAGCUGGGAAGUCAAAGUUAACCCUCCAGGCUAGAUCUAGGGAAAGACUUGUCAGCUGUUUCUUCACUUCCAUGACCUUGGAAAAUCCGCUGUCUCCACCAGACACUGAUCCUUGGCACAGCCACUAUUUGAUACACUUAACUCUGCUCAGGAUUUUAGAUCUCAACCCAGGAAAUGAGCUACAGUCUCACCCCAGUGCUUGAAAUAGGUGUGCAAACAAUUCACAUAUUAUAAAUACGUUGACUUGGGCCGGGUGUGGUGGCUCACGCCUGUAAUCCCAGCACUUUAGGAGGCUGAGGCAGGAGGAUUACUUGAGGUCAGGAGUUCCAGACAAGCCUGGCCAACAUUGCAAAACCCUCUCUCUACUAAAGUACAAAAAUUAGCCGGGCAAGGUGGUCCGUGCCUGUAAUCUCAGCUACUCAGGAGGCUGAGGCAGGAGAAUCGCUUAAACCCAGGAGAUGGAAGUUGCAAUGAGGCGAGAUCACAACAACCCACUCCAGCCUGGGCGACAGAGCAAGACCCUGUCUCAAAUAAAUAACUAAAAUGAAAAUAAAUAAAUUGAUUUGUUUUCAUUCAUAUAUUUUGGGGAUACAAUGGAGCUUAAAGUUUGAAAACCAAAACGGAGCUGGCCACCAAAGGUGUGGAUUUGGUCAACAGGGUGUGGACUCCAGCAGCCCGUGUCACUCUCAGACUCCAUGUCUCAAUUUGAAUGUUUCCAUGUCACUUAAAAAGUAGAAUAUUCAUAGUGAUGUUGAAGAUACAAAAGAUAUACCAGGAUUAAUUUUCUAGUCAAUUUUAUGUGUCUGUGACCCAAGACAAUAAAAGUUAAGUCAUCGUUAGUUCCUUAGUUGCUGGACACUUUAGCCCAAUAUACCACCUUCAAUUUUGAAUUAUUAUUUGGACUGUGUUCAUGAGAUUCUUGGAGUAUGUUAAAUCAACACAUUUCUUUGUAAUUAUUGAGAACCUUUUGUUCCCUAUAAAAUCAAGUGUACGAUGAUGUAAACUAUAAAACGCAAAUUGUAGGGACAAUUGGUAAUCUGCAGUGAAAAUAAAGUCAAAAUAGCAAAGAGCAGAUUAUUCUCAAAUUUAUGUAACAGAGUUCUUACAUGUGGAAGUGGAUACAAGUAUUAGCACAUUCAGUUGAUGUACUGAAAAUAAAAUGAAACUAUUUUUCUACUUACUACUUGCUUGUGAAAUCCAAAGGGGUGAAUAAGAGCCAGGAUUCAUUGUCAUGAGUGUAGGGGUGCCCUGGGAAGGAGGCCUCCAUCCCACGUGUCAGUGGCGUCAUCAGAAAUUCCAUGAUCGUCGGCUUAUUCUUUGCACACGUGUCUACAGGGUCCCUCCGCACACCGACUUGGUGUCCUCCAGGAUGCAGAAAACCCAAAUUAAACUAGUUUAAUGAAUAAGGAAACUAAGUGGCUCUUAGGACCAUAAGCCCUGCGGUGACGCCUGCUUCAGGGCUGGAGGAGCUAAGUGUUCUCUGGUUCACCAAAGCCCCCAGUUCUUUCCGUCUGUCACUCAUAGCUUCGGCUUCGUCCCCGGCUCACUGCCAGUGGUAAUCAGGCUGCCCAAGAACUUCUGAAAUCCACAGCCCGGUGUUUCCAAACGAAUUAUCAGUAGGGUUGGAAUCCCUUCUCCCCAGCCCCAGCCCCAGCAAGGCCCUCCAACGCCACUGCAGUUCCCUGGAUAGCAGGAAGAGGCCUGAGCCGGCUCUCCCGGAGCUCCAGGUGCAGAGUCUCCCCACAUGGGAGUCAGUGUUCUCAGAGCAGCAUUUGUUGACCUGAGCUAACCAAGUUCUCUAACUGAAAGCCUGGCUGUGUAAAGCCACAGAUGUCUGGCAUUAGAAUAGCUCAAGGACAGGAGAAAAAACUGACAAUCAGUCCAGAACGGCAUCCCAGGACUUCUGCUCUGAGGAGAAAACAGGACUAAACCCCAGCUGAGGUCUAUUUCCAACUCCAAGAUUCUGCAAUGUUAUCUCUGUUUAAAAAGAUAUCCCACUUUUUGAUGACAGUGUGUCUGGAAUUGGUGGGUUCUUGGUCUCACUGACUUCAAGAAUGCAGCUGCGGACCCUGGCGGUGAGUGUUACAGCUCUUAAAGGCGGCAUGUCCGGAGUUUGUUCCUUCUAGGUGGGUUCCUGGUCUCUCUGGCUCAGGAGUGAAGCUGCAGACCUUAGCGGUAAGCUGUUACAGCUCUUAAGUCAGCGCGUCUGGAGUCGUUCGCUCCUCCCGGUGGGUUCGUGGUCUCGCUAGCCUCAGGAGUGCAGCUGCAGACCUUCGUGGUGACUGCUACAGCUCAUAAAAGCAGUGUGGACCCAAAGACUGAGCAGUAGCAAGAUUUAUUGCAAAAGACGAAUGAACAAAGCUUCCACACGACAGACACAAACCCUAACAGAUUGCCACCGCUAGCUCGGAGAGCCUGCUUUUCUUCCCUUAUCUGGCUCCACCCACAUCCUGCUGAUUGGCCCAUUUUACAGAGAGCUGAUUGGUCUGUUUUACAGAGAGCUGAUUGGUCUGUUUUGACAGGGUGCUGAUUGGUGCGUUUACAAUCCUGAGCUAGACACAAAGGUUCUCCAAGUCCCCACCAGAUUAGCUAGACACAGGGUGCUGAUUGGUGCAUUUACAAACCUUGAGCUAGAUACAGAGUGCUGAUUGGUGUAUUCACAAUCCCUUAGCUAGACAUAAAUGUUCUCCAAGUCCCCACCAGAUCAGCUAGACACAGAGUGCUGAUUGGUGCAUUUACAAACCUUGAGCUAGAUACAGAGUGCUGAUUGGUGUAUUUACAAUCCCUUAGCUAGACAUAAAGAUUCUCCAAGUCCCCACCAGACUCA